AUCAACUGAAUAUGUAAUCCCGAGACAGCGGGUGUCCUUCAGGAGAAGGACUUAAUAGACAAAAUGCCUGCCGAGGAUUAAAAGUACUGUACUAAAUACAGAUUUUUUAAGUCCUCGUGUUUCAGACAUGAGGACUUUUAGUUUACAUAA
rfam:Chloroflexi bacterium RBG_13_48_17 RBG_13_scaffold_13438, whole genome shotgun sequence.